AUCGCUAGUAAUCGCGAAUCAGAAUGUCGCGGUGAAUACGUUCCCGGGUCUUGUACACACCGCCCGUCACACCAUGGGAGUUGGGGGGGCCCAACGCCAGUGACCUAACCCGCAAGGGAAGGAGCUGUCUAAGGCAAAACCAAUGACUGGGGUGAAGUCGUAACAAGGUAGCCGUAUCGGAAGGUGCGGCUGGAUCACCUCCUUUCUAAGGAA
rnacentral:rRNA from 1 species